CCUCUCUACACCCUAAACCCCUAAUUGACGUCACCUGGAAAGUGGUUGAGUGCACAAGGCUACAAGGGCUCUAAAUGGUAUAACUAGGAAGGAGAUAGCACGUUGCAACUUCUCAGGUCCUGUGAUGUUUGCCAACUGACCACAGCUGAAGCAGCUACUGACCAAUAGCCACAUGAGCUCAACUCAGUGAGUGACUUUCAUACUUUUGAUCCACCAACUAUCAGGAAAACUUCUCUGCACUAUCAAAGCACCAUCACUCCUCGGAGAGGGCUUGUCUUUCUUAUCACAACAAGGACCCUGCCUCUGCCUAACACAACUGGACUCCAGCUCCUGGGUGGUCUCAGGGCUUUGAUGCAUAAUCACGGUGCCUAGCUGUUCCAAGAAGACAUGGAAGGCAGCGAGAAUGCCUCAUUUCAGCUAAAUAGGAAUUGCCUGAUAACAUCGAUGGGAAUGAUGAGGCAAGCUGUUGUAAAGCCCAGCUCCUCAAAAUGAAGAAAAUGAAAAUGUAUCAUCAAGGUGGAGAAAUGUGAAACUGAAAAAUCUCAUGUAUUACUAAGAUUAUGGUGAUUUCAUAGUUAUUAACGUUAAAUCCAUGCAUUCGUUCCAUGACCAUAUUUGAAUAUUGGGGAAGCUUAUGUGUGUCCAAUCCUUGAGAGGUAGUGUAGCACAGUGGGGCUUGUUGCGGAUGUUCAAAAACAGACUUAAGUGAAGGUCUGAAUCCUCUAUUCCCUUCUCUACUGCCACUCUUCUGCGUUUCCUCUGACCUGGACCUGGACCUGGACCUGGACCUGGACCUGGACCUGAGGAGAGGAGGACAGUGAAGGGGGCGUGGUCUCUUCUUGUCUACUCCAUUUCCUGCCUUCCACACCAGCUCUAAUUGGAAAUUUGGGUGGCCCUGUUUAUUUACAUGGUUGAAAUGCUGCGAGGUUGUAUUUAUAUUUUCAUGGCGCGUUCUCAGCAGUGCUGCAUUACAUAGCCUUCCCCUGAGAUCACUGUGGGAGAGGGAGAGGAGUGUAGAGUGGUUGAAUGUGUACGUGCAUGUGCGUGUGUGGGGAAGAUGAUGGAGGUUGUAUGAGGUCUGAUUUCCUUCAUGGUGAAAUUGCAUUUAAAGAUCUUAAAGUCAAGCCUCUGAUUUAUCAAUGUUUCCUCAUAGGAAAAUCAAAUAUAUUAUGAAAUAUCUGCAAAUUUGAUUUGACUGUCAUAAUAGGAUGCAUUUCCCCCAAAAACGUGACAUAAAAAAUGAAGAUGAAACUGAAA